rnacentral:rRNA from 1 species
UACGUAGGGGCAAGCGUUGCCCGGAUUUAUUGGGCGUAAAGAGCGUGUAGGCGGCCAGAUAGGUCCGUUGUGAAACUCGAGGCUCAACCUCGAGACGCCGAUGGAAACCAUCUGGCUAGAGUCCGGAAGAGGAGAGUGGAAUUCCUGGUGUAGCGGUGAAAUGCGCAGAUAUCAGGAAGAACACCCGUGGCUAAGGCGGCUCUCUAGUACGGUACUGACGCUGAGACGCGAAAGCGUGGGGAGCGAACAGG